rnacentral:rRNA from 1 species
AUGCUUAGCAACGACGUCGUUUCGCGGGCGGUUUUCGGCGGCACGGUCGCGCAGCGGGACGAGUACAUCCGCGAGUUGGGCGAGUCGAUGGAGCUUGUCACCGGCUUCUGCCUCGUCGACAUCUUCCCCUCUUCGCGGCUGGUGCGGUGGCUUAACAGCGUCGAGAGGCGUAUGAGGAGGAGCUACGGCCGUAUGCAGAGCAUCAUCGCUGACAUCCUCGACGAGCGCAAGGCCGCACGAGCUGCCGGCGAUGGCUCCUGCAGCACCGAUGACGAGGAUCUGCUGGAGGUGCUGCUCAGGCUGCAGGCCGAGGACUCUUUGGAAUUCCCUCUAACCACAGAGAUUAUAGGCGCCGUCAUGUUUGACAUGUUUGCUGGUGGCACGGAUACCACCGCAACCGUUUUGGAGUGGGCUAUGUCAGAACUUGUGAACAAUGCCGAAGCCAUGACUAAAGCACAACUAGAGGUCCGAGAGGUGCUUGGCGAAGACCGAGUUAUCAUUACCAAUUGUGACAUUGCUAAACUCCCCUACAUGAGGAUGGUCAUCAAGGAGGUUCUGAGGUUGCAUCCACCCAUUCCUCUAGUCCCUCGCAUGGCUAGAGAUGAUUGCAAUAUUAUGGGUUAUGACAUGCUUAAAGGCACCAAUGUAUUAGUUAAUGUCUUCGCAAUUUCCAGAGAUUCAAGAUAUUGGGAAAAUCCUGAAGAGUUUAAGCCCGAGAGAUUUGAGAACAACAAUAUGGAUUACAAUGUGACAUAUUUUGAAUUUAUUCCCUUUGGGGCUGGGCGACGGCAGUGCCCUGGGAUGUUCUUUGGCAUAUCGACAGUGCACAUCACAUUGGCAAACAUGUUGUAUCAUUUCAAUUGGAUGCGUCCUGAAGGGGCUUGUCUGACUUCAUUUGACAUGUCUGAGAAAUUUGGGUUGACAAUAAGACGAAGAUAUGACCUGCAGCUCAGAGCUAUUCCAUGGGUGGGCGUCAAAAAUAUACUGUUGAGGUGA